GUUCAAUGUUCAUUGUUAAAAAAAGUUGAGGUUUACCGAAAAAUGUAUAGGCAAGUGGCUUUUAGUUCAGGGCAAGUAGAUUUUCAAACUACCUGCCCAGCAAGACAAGUUGAAUUUAAGGUUAACGUCGAACCCUGAUAGUUACGGCAAAUAUAGUUAUCUGAGUGCUGCAAAUCAAUUUACAAAAACUGAAUACAUUUUAUUGAUAUCUUUUGCUUGUGUUAUUUUACUUUUUCUUUAACUAGACCUCUCAAAUGAUGAUAAUUGAUACAAAAUACUUUCAACAAGGUAUACCUUCAUGUCUACAUUUCUUAAUGGUCUAAAUUCAUAUGUGUAUGCAUAUUUUACAUGCAUGUGUAUACUUACACUUUGAGUGGCUAAAUGUUCCGCCUUGUAGGUCAUAUGUCAAAAUUAUAGGUUUGAGCGGUGAGAUGAAUAUAGAGUUGUUUUCUUGUUAAUGGAAGAUAGUUAUUUUUUCAGUGAAUGAUCAAAUUUCCUUUUUUAUAGCUGCAACAUGUUCCAUGAUAUUAUUUACAUAUUUAGAUACAUUGCAUAUACAGCUCAAGUUAUCCAAUAUUGCCAGCAAUGUCUUAAUGUCAGCAUAUGUAUUCUUUACCAUCGGUGUCUUCCGUCAGACGAUAGACACAUUGCCCACCAGCAGGCGUGGCGGAACUGCCCAUUUACCCAGAGUCAAGAACAGGAGCUCCUGCAUGCCUUGCCUACCCUCCUGGCCAGGACAAUUGAGGCGGAGGUUAGACAGCUUGAUCCUGCUCCUGCUGCUGAAAGGGGAGGUCCAAUCCGUCUGAGCGUACAUGAUAGACGGAGAACAGAUGAUGUGAGUACACUGAUCACAGCCUCAGACAAGCUGACCUUAGUAACACUUCAACAAAUCGGUUCGUGUUACAUGAACUGACAGCCAACGGUCUAGCCGUUUGCAAAUCCCAAACUGAUGGAUGACUACAGCAUCGUAGAUCCACAAAACGGGGCUGAUAUUUCUUGUCAGAUUCUCAAUGUACCAGUCAGUAUUGAUGAGAGUCUUGUUGACAGUUAUUGUUUGGUCGAGUAUGAUGGUAAACCAUAUCCAGGAAAGAUUACCGCAGAAGACGAUAUCAGUGUGAAAGUUUAAGCAAUGCAUUGUGUCUGUCUCAAUCGAUAUUUCUUGCCUUUAAAAAAAGGACGAAUGCUGGUACGAAAGAGAUCGUAUCAUUACCAUGUUACCCUGUGAACCAGAGAAGCUGAGUGGCCGUCACCAGGCCCUACCUCUCCCAAUAUGGGAGGCAAUGAAAGAUAAAUAUGAUCUUUAAACAUGUACCACUAUACUUUGAUAUGAAAAUGUUUUAAGGGUUGUAUUUUUGUGUUGUAUGUAAAAGGAACAUUUUGUAUUACAUGUGUAUGUAAAAGGCACAUUAUGCACUAUGAUAUAACGACCAAUUAAUA